rnacentral:rRNA from 1 species
GACGAACGCUGGCGGCGUGCUUAACACAUGCAAGUCGAACGGACAGGCCCUGCUUUUGUGGGGUGCUCGAGUGGCGAACGGGUGAGUAACACGCGAGUAACCUGCCCCUGACUUUGGGAUAACUUCAGGAAACUGGGGCUCAUACCGGAUAGGAGCUCCUGCUGCAUGGUGGGGGAUGGAAAGAUUCGGCGGUUGGGGAUGGACUCGCGGCUUAUCAGCUUGUUUGUGGGGUAGGGGCUUACCAAGGCUAUGACGGGUAGCCGGCCUGAGAGGGUGACCGGCCACAUUGGGACUGAGAGACGGCCCAGACGCGUACGGGAGGCAGCAGGGGAGAAUAUUGCGGAACGAGGGGAAGCGAGAUGUGGCGAUGCUGCGUGCGGGAUAACGGCCUUCGGGUUGAAAACCGCUUUCGACUGUGACGAAGAGUGAGUGACGGUAAUGGGUAAGGAAGCACCGGCUAACUACGUG